AUAUUUUCAACUCAAUCUUCUUUUCCUGCCUAACGGAAAAUGGUCAAGAGACUGGCUGUUUAUACUUUCUGUUUCUUGGACCAAUUACUCUGGGGACACUCCCUCUUAUAACCCAGCUACCAUGAUAUGAGAAGACUCCCUCUUAUAACCCAGCUACCAUGAUAUGAGAAGACUCCCUCUUAUAACCCAGCUACCGUGAUAUGAGAAGACUCCCUCUUAUAACCCAGCUACCAUGAUAUGAGAAGUCCAAGCCAUGUGGAGGGGCUAUGUGUGUGUGCUUCAGUUGACAGCUCCAGCUGUGCUCGCAACAUCAAUUGCCAGCCAUGUGACUGAGCAAUUUUGAACCUCCAGCAGAAUUGACUGAGCUUUCAGAUGAACUGCAGCCCCAGCCAACAUUUCAUUGCAACAUCAUAGACCUCAAAAUAGAACCAUAGAGCUGAGCCCGGUCAACCCAAAGAAACAGAACAGUCCAUUUGCCAGAAUUAAUCAUAUGGUCCUGCCUAACUGCAAGAAGGGCAGGUACACAGGAAGAAGAAAGGAACCAGAUUU
rnacentral:lncRNA from 10 species